AUAACAAUAAUAUUAAAGUUUUUACUUUCUCCCGAAUUAUUAAGAUCUAAUUAUUUUUAGUUUAUUGGGCUUCUAUUAAUUAUAUUGUUUCAUAAAUAUAUAAUAAAAUUAUAAUUAGGGAUGAAAAAUCUUCAAUUAUUAGGAUAUCUGGAUUUAAGUUAAAUAUAUAUAGUAUAACUAAUACAUAUUUAAGGCUAUAAGGUCUUAAAAUAGAAAAAUAACUUAUAUUUUUACUCCCCCUAAAUUUAAAUAGUUCAUAGGAAAUAUAGAGCUCAAUUAUAUUGAACUUUAAUUACUUAUUAUUGUUAUAUUUUCUUUAUUUUUUAAAAGUAGCUUAACUUUAGAAAAAAUUUAAUCUGUUUAUUGAUUAUGUUUUUAUUAGUAUAUAUUAUAAAGUUUAUAAAAAGAACUCGGCAAAUUUUACUUAAUAGUUAAAUUUCCGGACUGUUUACCAAAAACAUAGCUUAAAGAAAAUAGAUUUUAAGUGAUCCCUGCCCAGUGAAAAUUAAUUUAACGGCCGCAGUACAUUGACUGUGCUAAGGUAGCAUAAUAAUUUGGCUUUUAAUUAAAGUCUAGAAUGAACGGGUUUACUAGGAAUACGCUGUUUCUUAAAAAUUUUAUUUAAAUUACUUAUUGAGUGAAAAUUCUCAAAUUACUUGAUAAGAAAGACGAGAAGACCCUUAGAAUUUUUCUUUUCUUAAAUAAUUAAAUAUUUACUGAUAGUUUGGUUGGGGCAACCAUUAAACAAAAUAAUUUUUAUAUAUUAUAAAAUUUAACCUAUAUAAUUCUAUUAAAAUUGAAUAAAUUACCUAAGGGAUAACAGCAUAAUUAAUUUAUUAGAUUGUGACCUCGAUGUUGGACUAGGUAAAAUUAAUAGUAAACCAUUAUUAAUACUGUUCUGUUCGAACAAUUACACCUACAUGAUCUGAGUCAGACCGCUAC
rnacentral:rRNA from 1 species